CAGAUGUAUGGUCGAGAGUGAAAGUGUAAGCAUCGUACGUACAGUUUUGUUAGCCUAGAAUUGUGAUUACCUUGAAGAAAACUGAAUGCUGUUGGUUCGUUCGAUUAUCGACCAAGUACAUUAUCGAUGAACGAGAUGCUAUUGUCGAUAAAAAUUUCCGGAACGUUGCUGCUUUUCCUGUGCUCAUCAUCGAUAGGAAUAGAAUUUGAGGAUCAUUUCAAGGAUUGCCACCCGAAUGUCUCGGAUUUCGACGAGUGUAUUCAAUAUGCAUUAAACGAGAUUCGACCUUACUUUAAGACAGGUGUUCCCAAAUUCGGAGCACACAUCCCCUUCGAGCCAUUUUUUAUCAAAAAAGCUCGCACGUCACGAGGUACACCCAACUUCGGCUUCGUCAUUACAAUGACCGACGUCGAGGAAGUUGGAUGGGAUCUGAGCAAAGUGAUCAAGUUCACCAGCGAUUUGAAGAACUACAAGGUGGUGUAUACCCAAAAUUUCCCGGACAAACGGCUAAAGGGUGGAUACGAAUUCAAAGGAUCUACGUUUAAUUCUACUAUAAACAACAGAGGAACGUUCACGUUACAGCUUUACGAUUUAGUUCAAACGACCACGGUUAUCGCGAAACCAGGAUCAAAGGUUUACGUGAGAGUGGAGUUAAACUCGAUCAGAGACAUGAAGUUACACGUAACGAAUUUGUUCUUCGGCAUCAAAUUGAUCGAGAAUUUUAUCGACAUAGUGAUAAAUAACACGUGGAAACAAUUCUUCAAGAUAAGCACACCUAUAAUUAACGAGCUCAUCUCUGACGGAUAUUUCGAAUUGUUCGACACCACGUUCCGCAAUUUUCCAUUCGAGAAAAUUAUCAAGCCAUAUCCUUACGAGGAUUAAAGAGAUCCGUUUAAAAAGAUUUCCUUUUCUCUUUGAGGCGAACGAGACGAAAGAGACAACUAGGCUCUGUCGUGUAGGGAUAAUGGGACGGAAGAGAAUUAAGUAUGAUUUAUUCAAAAGGUUCUUGGAAAUCGGACGAAUCUUCCCUUCAUCUCCCUCGUCGAGGUAUCGAGCAUUUUACGAACACUUUUCUUCUUCUGUCAGGAUAGGCUGCUCGCCUUGAGAUUCUGACGGUCUACGACCUCGCAUUCUCGUGGUACGUCGACUCUACGUCGAUAAUUUGCGUUCAAAGGAAGACAUUAGGUAACGUAAUGCUCGCAUCGAGAAUAUAUAUAUGUAUCUUGGCGGUCAUUGUCUUCUUUGAAGAGUAAUUGGAGCAUCUUGCGCAUCGUGAAUGAAUACGUUCGUGGAUCACGUGGAUUUCUUUCACGUUCCUGUUUUAUUAUUAUAUUUAAUGUGUAACAAUGAUUUUCAAAUCUUCUUUUUUUUUA